rnacentral:lncRNA from 1 species
UUUUGCUAGAAUACUAUCAGUAGUAAACGAGCCGUUUUACUACCUGUUUAUUUUCGAUGAUAGAGCUUCCAAAUUGACGAUCGGCUCCGUUGAACAUGAUCUAUACCACUUGAAGUGUUUAGAAAUUAAAUUUCAAAUCUUUUCGACAUCAUUUGCCUAAUGAUCAAAGGGUUUCAAAAUUUAUAAUUUUAAUAGUCGAUAAGAGGCAUUUUCUCGUUUAACGGCGUAAAGAUAUUCAAAUCAAUUAAAUUUUUGUUAGAAAAUUCUUUAAACUAUUUAAAACAAAAUCUAUACUCUUGAUCUUGAUUACAAGACUCCUAUCAUCAUUUUUUAAAGAAUAUUCAUUUUCAGCCAUUCAUUUUUCUGUUAACUUGAUGGAUAAAAGAACAAUAUCGAAAGUGCGUGAAAUUUGAUUUCUAGGUAGUUUAAAUGGUUUAGAUCAUAUUUAACGGAGCCGAUCGUUAAUUUGAAAGCUCUAUCAUCGAAAACAAAUCGGUAGUAAAACGGCUCGUUUACUCUCGAUAGUAUUCUAGCUCAACUCUAUAUAUAUAUAUAUAUAUAUAUAUAUAGAGCAGUACUGCUGUGCUCUCAGGAGUAUGGAGCCCUCCGUGCUCCUAAACCGUUUUCAAUGAUGGAAUUUUUGAAUCGACGAUCGGCUCCGUUAGACUUGAUCUAGCGUAAUUGAAGUUUCUAGAAAAUAAUUUUUGUGAUUUUUUAAUAUCAUUUACCUAGUGAUCGAAAGGGUUCAAAAUCAAUAAUUUUUAAUGGUUGAUAUCUGCCGUUUUCAAGUUUAACGGUGUAGAAGUAUUCAAAUCAGAUAAAAUUUUGAUACAAAAUUCUUUAUACUAUCUACAACAAGACUACUAAUAUUUAGAUUUUAUGCAAACCUAAAUGCAAAGAGAUCUAUAUUUUAUGAAUUUUAAUUAUUAGAUCAAGAUUUUUUUUUUUUUUUUUCUUUCAACUUUUCACCAAAUAGUAGGACUGGU